rnacentral:rRNA from 1 species
GACGAACGCUGGCGGCGUGCUUAACACAUGCAAGUCGAACGGAAAGGCCCUGCUUUUGUGGGGUGCUCGAGUGGCGAACGGGUGAGUAACACGUGAGUAACCUGCCCUUGACUUUGGGAUAACUUCAGGAAACUGGGGCUAAUACCGGAUAGGAGCUCCUGCUGCAUGGUGGGGGUUGGAAAGUUUCGGCGGGUGGGGAUGGACUCGCGGCUUAUCAGCUUGUUGGUGGGGUAGUGGCUUACCAAGGCUUGGACGGGUAGCCGGCCUGGGAGGGGGACCGGCCACAUUGGGACUGAGAUACGGCCCAGACUGCUACGGGAGGCAGCAGUGGGGAAUAUUGCACAAUGGGCGGAAGCCGGAUGCAGCAACGCCGCGUGCGGGAUGACGGCCUUCGGGUUGUAAACCGCUUUCGCCUGUGACGAAGCGUGAGUGACGGUAAUGGGUAAAGAAGCACCGGCUAACUACGUG